AUUGAACGCUGGCGGCAGGCCUAACACAUGCAAGUCGAGCGAGCGGCGGACGGGGGAGCGAUGUAUGGGGAACUUUGUGACGGCGGGGGAUAACUACUGUAACCGGUAGAUAAUACCGCUUACCAUCAUUUGUACCCACAUGGGAUUAUCUUGUAGGUGAGGUAAAGGCUCACCUAGGCGACGAUCCCUAGCUGUUCUGAGAGGAUGAUCAGCCACACUGGAACUGAGACACGGCCCAGACUCCUACGGGAGGCAGCAGUGGGGAAUAUUGCACAAUGGGCGCAAGCCUGAUGGAGCCAUGCCGCGUGUAUGAAGAAGGUCUUCGGGUUGUAAAGUACUUUCAGUCGGGAGGCGUUACCUACAGAAGAAGCACCGGCUAACUCCGUGCCAGCAGCCGCGGUAAUAC
rnacentral:rRNA from 1 species